rnacentral:rRNA from 1 species
GUGGGGAAUAUUGCGCAAUGGGGGAAACCCUGACGCAGCAACGCCGCGUGAUUGAAGAAGGCCUUCGGGUUGUAAAGAUCUUUAAUUGGGGACGAAAUAAAUGACGGUACCCAAAGAAUAAGCUCCGGCUAACUACGUGCCAGCAGCCGCGGUAAUACGUAGGGAGCAAGCGUUAUCCGGAUUUACUGGGUGUAAAGGGCGAGUAGGCGGGCCGACAAGUUGGGAGUGAAAUCCGGGGGCUUAACCCCCGAACUGCUUUCAAAACUGUUGGUCUUGAGUGAUGGAGAGGCAGGCGGAAUUCCCAGUGUAGCGGUGAAAUGCGUAGAUAUUGGGAGGAACACCAGUGGCGAAGGCGGCCUGCUGGACAUUAACUGACGCUGAGGUGCGAAAGCGUGGGGAGCAAACAGGAUUAGAAACCCGGGUAGUCC